UCUCAUUCUCGUAGUAGAGCAUUAAGGUCGAGUAAUGAUGAACAAAGGUGCUGCUGUGUUCGCGUUGGUUCUCAGUCUGUUGGUUCUACAGGCAGCUUCGAAACCAGCGCCGAUUGGGCUCGAAUUCCUGGAAGCUCUUGGAGGAAUGAUGAGUAUAGUCUCUGCUCUUGGGGCAGGGUAAAUCCGAAGACAUAUCGCCACAUUUUCUACAAUUAAUAUGUGACGCCUGCCUCAGUAAAAAAAUCUAAAAUAUGCAGAAAAAAUUAUUCUGCAAAUGCAACCUAAAAAACAAUCAGCCUUUUUAGAAAUUCACAACUAUCCAGAAUAAAGACCAGAUCAAAUGUCAAA